CCUACGGGAGGCAGUAGUGAGGAAUAUUGGUCAAUGGGCGCAAGCCUGAACCAGCCAAGCCGCGUGAAGGAUGACUGCCCUACGGGUUGUAAACUUCUUUUGUAAGGGAAUAAAUUGAGGCACGUGUACCUUUUUGUAUGUACUUUAUGAAUAAGGAUCGGCUAACUCCGUGCCAGCAGCCGCGGUAAUACGGAGGAUCCGAGCGUUAUCCGGAUUUAUUGGGUUUAAAGGGAGCGUAGAUGGGUUGUUAAGUCAGUUGUGAAAGUUUGCGGCUCAACCGUAAAAUUGCAAUUGAUACUGGCAGUCUUGAGUACAGUUGAGGUAGGCGGAAUUCGUGGUGUAGCGGUGAAAUGCUUAGAUAUCACGAAGAACUCCGAUUGCGAAGGCAGCUUACUAAACUGCCACUGACAUUGAUGCUCGAAAGUGUGGGGAGCAAACAGGAUUAGAUACCCUAGUAGUC
rnacentral:rRNA from 1 species